UACGUAGGGGGCAAGCGUUGUCCGGAUUUAUUGGGCGUAAAGAGCGUGUAGGCGGCCAGACAGGUCCGUUGUGAAAACUCGAGGCUCAACCUCGAGACGCCGAUGGAAACCGUUUGGCUAGAGUCCGGAAGAGGAGAGUGGAAUUCCUGGUGUAGCGGUGAAAUGCGCAGAUAUCAGGAAGAACACCCGUGGCUAAGGCGGCUCUCUAGUACGGUACUGACGCUGAGACGCGAAAGCGUGGGGGAGCGAACAGG
rnacentral:rRNA from 1 species